AGGAAGUAAAAGUCGUAACAAGGUCUCCGUAGGUGAACCUGCGGAGGGAUCAUUACCGAGUGAGGGCCCCCGGCCCGACCUCCAACCCUUUGUGAACGCAAACCCGUUGCUUCGGGGGCGACCCUGCCGUCUCGGCGGCGCCCCCGGAGGACACCAAACACUGCAUCGUUGCGUCGGAGUAAUCAGUAAAUCUGAACAAAACUUUCAACAACGGAUCUCUUGGUUCUGGCAUCGAUGAAGAACGCAGCGAAAUGCGAUAAGUAAUGUGAAUUGCAGAAUUCAGUGAAUCAUCGAAUCUUUGAACGCACAUUGCGCCCCGUGGUAUUCCGCGGGGCAUGCCUGUUCGAGCGUCAUUUCACCACUCGAGUCUGACUCGGUAUUGGGCGCCGCGCAUCGCCGCGCGCCUCAAAGUCUCCGGCUGGGCGGCCCGUCUCCGAGCGUUGUGGCAUCACGUUCUCGCUAGGGAGUCGCGGGCGGCAUCGGCCGUAAAACACCCCAUCUCAAGGUUGACCUCGGAUCAGGUAGGGAUACCCGCUGAACUUAAGCAUAUCAA
rnacentral:rRNA from 1 species